CUGGCUCAGGAUGAACGCUGGCGGCGUGCUUAACACAUGCAAGUCGAGCGAAACACUUAAAUCAGAUUUCUUCGGAAUGAAGAACUUUGUGAUUGAGCGGCGGACGGGUGAGUAACGCGUGGAUAACCUACCUCAUACAGGGGGAUAACAGUUAGAAAUGACUGCUAAUACCGCAUAAGACCGCGGCACCGCAUGGUGCAGUGGUAAAAACUCCGGUGGUAUGAGAUGGAUCCGCGUCUGAUUAGCUAGUUGGUGAGGUAAUGGCCCACCAAGGCGACGAUCAGUAGCCGACCUGAGAGGGUGAUCGGCCACAUUGGGACUGAGACACGGCCCAAACUCCUACGGGAGGCAGCAGUGGGGAAUAUUGCACAAUGGGGGAAACCCUGAUGCAGCGACGCCGCGUGAAGGAUGAAGUAUUU
rnacentral:rRNA from 1 species